UACGAAGGGGGCUAGCGUUGUUCGGAAUUACUGGGCGUAAAGCGUAUGUAGGCGGAUCGUUAAGUCGGGGGUGAAAUCCCGAGGCUCAACCUCGGAACUGCCUUCGAUACUGGCGAUCUUCGAGUCCGGGAGAGGUGAGUGGAACUCCGAGUGGUAGAGGUGAAAUUCGUAGAUAUUCGGAAGAACACAGUGGCGAAGGCGGCUCACUGGCCCGUUACCGACGCUCAGGCGCGACAGCGUGGGGGAGCAAACAGG
rnacentral:rRNA from 1 species